rnacentral:lncRNA from 1 species
CCUGCCACUACUUCUAGCUCAGUGAUUGUUAAAUACAUUGACAGAAAAUGACAACCUGGGCUUCCAAGCUCUUCUCACUGGUGCAUUCACUGAGCAGCACUCACCUGCAGUAGCUGUCCCGCUAAAGUCUAUGCGAGCAGUGGCGCAAAGGUGAGAUUUGUACUACAAUCCCUGAGACAGAUUUAAUGCAUGUUUGGGUGGCAGAAUCCAGCGUGCAAUAUUUUGCAGAAUAAGACAUUCGCUGUAUUCAAGGUAAUUUUAUUUAAACCAUUAACAGGUAGGCUUUGCACUACCUGUUAGCCACUGCCGGCUUCCCAGAACCAGCAAGAGAGCCUGGAAACUCUAACGGGAUUAAAGUUCGCAGCCAUUAAGCCUCUCCUUUGUUGCAUUCUGUCAUUUGAUAUAUAUCUGUUUUGCCUUAAAAAUAUUAUAUUAAAUGCUGCUCAGUCUCUGUGCAUUGAAGUGGCACCGUUCCUGCUUCCAGCUCUCGAGCAGGCACCGAGGCUUUAUCAUCGGUGUCCUCUUACAGGCUGUAUCUUAAAUCACGGCAUGAAAUCGAGCCCUUCGCCGUGCUUGCUGUCUGUGCGUGAGCCACAUCAGCGGCUGGCAGCGCUCCCGAGCCCUGGCAUCCUUCCUCAGCAGCCUUGAGUCCAAUUAGGCUUCACCUCAGUUUUGAGUACAGCUUCCCCCUAUCACUGGGCCUGCUCCUGCCACACUUUCAGGGUUCUCCAUACCCCAUUAAGCCCCAGGAAGCAGAUCUGGGACUUGUGGAGCAAGCUGGGGCUCAGCUCCAGCACUGCUGUGUGGGUACCGCUGCUCUCUUUGCAGAAAGAUCCAAAGGAGAGAGGGAAAACGGAGUGAGAUGCAAACAGAGAGGGGGGAUGGCUGUGGCACCCCAUCCUUCUCCUGCAUGGGAUCCCUGCCAGCCCUGCAAGCACUGGGCUGGUGCCAACUAUCGCGUUCGCCCGUCCCCAUCCUCCUGCAUCCUCCAGCAGCCUCUGUCCAGAGCCAUGCGGCUGUCCUGGGGGGGACCCAUCCCUUGGGAAAACCAGUGGAAACCGGAGUUAGUCCUCGUCUGUUUAACUAGCUCUUCAUUAGGUAUGCUUUCUAUAAACACAGAUUAAAAGAAAACAAACAACAAAAAAUAAAGAUACUGGAAUUACUCUGAGGAAACUGUAU